rnacentral:rRNA from 1 species
CACGUAGGGGACGAGCGUUGUCCGGAUUCAUUGGGCGUGAAGCGCGCGUAGGCGGCUCGGAAAGUCGGGUGUGAAAGCCCGGGGCUCAACCCCGGGACUGCAUCCGAUACUUCCGGGCUGGAGGUAGGUAGGGGAGAUCGGAAUUCCUGGUGUAGCGGUGAAAUGCGCAGAUAUCAGGAGGAACACCGGUGGCGAAGGCGGAUCUCUGGGCCUUACCUGACGCUGAGGCGCGAAAGCUAGGGGAGCGAACAGG